rnacentral:rRNA from 1 species
UGGGGAAUUUUGGACAAUGGGCGAAAGCCUGAUCCAGCAAUGCCGCGUGUGUGAAGAAGGCCUUCGGGUUGUAAAGCACUUUUGUCCGGAAAGAAAUCCUUGGCUCUAAUACAGUCGGGGGAUGACGGUACCGGAAGAAUAAGCACCGGCUAACUACGUGCCAGCAGCCGCGGUAAUACGUAGGGUGCAAGCGUUAAUCGGAAUUACUGGGCGUAAAGCGUGCGCAGGCGGUUUGCUAAGACCGAUGUGAAAUCCCCGGGCUCAACCUGGGAACUGCAUUGGUGACUGGCAGGCUAGAGUAUGGCAGAGGGGGGUAGAAUUCCACGUGUAGCAGUGAAAUGCGUAGAGAUGUGGAGGAAUACCGAUGGCGAAGGCAGCCCCCUGGGCCAAAUACUGACGCUCAUGCACGAAAAGCGUGGGGAGCAAACAGGAUUAGAUACCCUGGUAGUCCACGCCCUAAAACGAUGUCAACUAGUUGUUGGGGAUUCAUUUCCUUAGUAACGUAGCUAACGCGUGAAGUUGACCGCCUGGGGAGUACGGUCGCAAGAUUAAAACUCAAAGGAAUUGACGGGGUCAUAGCUGUUUCCU